UAGUCUGGUCCCAACGGUGUUUUAUACU
rnacentral:piRNA from 1 species